UGGGGAAUAUUGCACAAUGGGGGAAACCCUGAUGCAGCGACGCCGCGUGAACGAAGAAGGUAUUCGUAUCGUAAAGUUCUGUCCUAUGGGAAGAUAAUGACAGUACCAUAGAAGAAAGCUCCGGCUAAAUACGUGCCAGCAGCCGCGGUAAUACGUAUGGAGCGAGCGUUGUCCGGAAUUAUUGGGCGUAAAGGGUACGCAGGCGGUUUAAUAAGUAGAUUGUUGAAGAUCGGGGCUCAACCCCGCAAAGCAUUGGAAACUGAUAAACUUGAGUAGUGGGGAGGAAAGUGGAAUUCCUAGUGUAGUGGUGAAAUACGUAGAUAUUAGGAGGAAUACCAGUAGCGAGGGCGACUUUCUGGACACAAACUGACGCUGAGGUACGAGAGCGUGGGGAGAGAACAGG
rnacentral:rRNA from 1 species